rnacentral:rRNA from 1 species
GUGGAUUAGAUACCCUGGUAGUCCACACCGUAAACGUUGGGCGCUAGGUGUGGGACUCAUUCCACGAGUUCCGUGCCGCAGCUAACGCAUUAAGCGCCCCGCCUGGGGAGUACGGCCGCAAGGCUAAAACUCAAAGGAAUUGACGGGGGCCCGCACAAGCGGCGGAGCAUGCGGAUUAAUUCGAUGCAACGCGAAGAACCUUACCUGGGUUUGACAUAUACGAGAAGCCUCUAGAGAUAGAGGUCUCUUUGGACACUCGUAUACAGGUGGUGCAUGGCCGUCGACAGCU